rnacentral:misc_RNA from 1 species
AGUCGUAACAAGGUAUCCGUAGGUGAACCUGCGGAUGGAUCAUUAAUGGAAUUUAUUUCGUAGUCUUGUGCACUUUUGGAUUACCGUGUGCGUGUGCAAUGGAAUAACGAGUGCGUGCGUGCACCGGUAGUCUAUAACAACUACUACACGUAUAUCACUUAUAAACUGACGUCUACUCUUAAAGUAGUAGUAAACAAUGUAAAUACAACUUUUAGCAACGGAUCUCUUGGCUCUC